rnacentral:rRNA from 1 species
UGCGGAGGGAUCAUUACACAAUACAAUAUGAAGGCUGUCCGCAGCUGGAGUAUUUUAUUACCCUUGUCUUUUGCGCACUUGUUGUUUCCUGGGCGGGUUCGCUCGCCACCAGGACCACCAAAUAAACCUUUUUUAUGCAGUUGCAAUCAGCGUCAGUACAAACAAUGUAAAUCAUUUACAACUUUCAACAACGGAUCUCUUGGUUCUGGCAUCGAUGAAGAACGCAGCGAAAUGCGAUACGUAGUGUGAAUUGCAGAAUUCAGUGAAUCAUCGAAUCUUUGAACGCACAUUGCGCCCUUUGGUAUUCCAAAGGGCAUGCCUGUUCGAGCGUCAUUUGUACCCUCAAGCUUUGCUUGGUGUUGGGCGUUUUUGUCUUUGGUCGCCCAAAGACUCGCCUUAAAGUGAUUGGCAGCCGGCCUUUCUGGUUUCGCAGCGCAGCACAUUUUUGCGCUUGCCAUCAGCAAGACGGCAAUCCAUCAAGCCUCCUUCUCACGUUUGACCUCGGAUCAGGUAGGGAUACCCGCUGAACUUAAGCAUAUCAAUAA